GACGAACGCUGGCGGCGUGCUUAACACAUGCAAGUCGAACGGAAAGGCCCUGCUUUUGUGGGGUGCUCGAGUGGCGAACGGGUGAGUAACACGUGAGUAACCUGCCCUUGACUUUGGGAUAACUUCAGGAAACUGGGGCUAAUACCGGAUAGGAGCUCCUGCUGCAUGGUGGGGGUUGGAAAGUUUCGGCGGUUGGGGAUGGACUCGCGGCUUAUCAGCUUGUUGGUGGGGUAGUGGCUUACCAAGGCUUUGACGGGUAGCCGGCCUGAGAGGGUGACCGGCCACAUUGGGACUGAGAGACGGCCCAGACUCCUACGGGAGGCAGCAGUGGGGAAUAUUGCACAAUGGGCGGAAGCCUGAUGCAGCAACGCCGCGUGCGUGAUGACGGCCUUCGGGUUGUAAACCGCUUUCGCCUGUGACGAAGCGUGAGUGGCGGUAAUGGGUAAAGAAGCACCGGCUAACUACGUG
rnacentral:rRNA from 1 species